GCAGGGUAAGGUAAUGGGGACAAAUUGGUGCAAGAGGAGAGUCAAAGGCCCUCUGAUAAGUUCCCUCAUGCUAUAGGGUGGGAGACAGAAAUGGCUUUGGAUGUGUACCAUGCUCAUCACAGGAGGUCACCCGGAACUGAAGAGUAGAGGCUUUUGUAUCUGUUCAGAUCGAGGACUGUUACCGUUCCGUGGGACUGGGCCUCUCCAAUGGCAUUGGCUGCAUGGCAGUGGUACACUCCUUCAUCUUCCUUUCUCAGAGGGUUGAUCUAGAAAUAUAACAGCACCUGAUGACAGGGCUGGAGCCCUUGGCGCAAUGGCUCUCCAGUGACUGCCUGGCCCAUGCUAGGCCACCUGCCCCUUCCAAUCAGCCACACUUUCAGCUCUGCCUACAUGACUGUUCUUCAAAGAGAUGUCCAAACCCAUAUCCAAGAGUGCAGCCAGCGGUCUGGUCUUGUAAAGUCUCCUAACUUCCAACAGCCCUGAACAAAGCCCGAGACUUCCAACAUGCCCUGCAGCCACGGACCUUACACAAGUAGUUGUCUGGCAGAAGCCCCAUCUGCCACAACAAAGAGGGGCUAAUUUAUUCACAUUCUCCUCCUGCCAACACCUCCUCAGUGACACUGGCGCUUACACAGGCAAGCCUGUCCCCAAAUGGCUGUGGGACGGUCAUACCACCUCUGAUUCCAGGGCCUUCAGUGGGUUCCAGAGGGCCGCUUCAUCAACGUGUUUCACUUUUCUUCAAGUAAAGUCAUAAAUUUUAAAUGAGACCUCAUCGCUUCCUUUCAAACCUAAAUGAAUAAACCAGUAAAUCACAUUUCCUGCUUG